GGCCCGGCGGACAGCCCCAGACUUCGUUAGCCUAUAGCGUGGCUCUGUGAGUCUGCCACCGCAGCUCAAUGACCGCCACGCGACGGUAACGCGAUGAGAGACGCCAGCAGAUACCGCAGGAGGAAGGCCAACACAAAGCACUUUCGAGUUACGGGCGGUGUUUCCUGACACGCGUGUGAAGCUCUCACGUGACCCUCAACCCCCUUUGAGGUCUGGGAUAAGAGACGCAGGGCUAAAGAUGGCGACCCCACCUUGUGCUGUCCUUCCACUCGACGCACAAGGUCAAUUUGUGCAUGUUGGCGGAACCCAAGACCAAGAAAAACAUGAUCUCCCUCAACCAACUACCAGCAGUUCAGCUCAACAAGAUGAACCUUCAAUUACGUGUGACUCAUUAAACAGUUGUUUUUCUUAAAUGAAUUUAUUCAUAAAUAUUUAUUUAAUUGAACAGUAGCAAC
rnacentral:lncRNA from 1 species